rnacentral:rRNA from 1 species
CCCUACACGACCGUACCGCAAACCGACACUGGUGCGCGAGAUGAGUAUUCUAAGGCGCUUGAGAGAACUCAGGAGAAGGAACUCGGCAAAUUGACACCGUAACUUCGGAAGAAGGUGUGCCUUUAGUAGGUGAACCAUUUACUUGGGGAGCCCAAUGAGGUUGCAAAAAAUCGGUGGCUGCGACUGUUUAUUAAAAACACAGCACUCUGCAAACACGAAAGUGGACGUAUAGGGUGUUACGCCUGCCCGGUGCUGGAAGAUUAAAUGAUGGGGUGCAAGCUCUUGAUUGAAGUCCCAGUAAACGGCGGCCGUAACGAUAACGGUCCUAAGGUAGCGAAAUUCCUUGUCGGGUAAGUUCCGACCUGCACGAAUGGCGUAACGAUGGCCACACUGUCUCUUCCUGAGACUCAGCGAAGUUGAAAUGUUUGUGAUGAUGCAAUCUCCCCGCGGAAAGACGGAAAGACCCCAUGAACCUUUACUGUAGCUUUGUAUUGGACUUUGAACAGAUCUGUGUAGGAUAGGUGGGAGGCUUUGAAGUAGGGUCGCUAGAUUCUAUGGAGCCAACGUUGAAAUACCACCCUGGUGUGUUUGAGGUUCUAACCUAGGUCCAUUAUCUGGAUCGGGGACAGUGCAUGGUAGGCAGUUUGACUGGGGCGGUCUCCUCCCAAAGCGUAACGGAGGAGUUCGAAGGUACGCUAGUUACGGUCGGACAUCGUGACGAUAGUGCAAUGGCAUAAGCGUGCUUAACUGCGAGACUGACAAGUCGAGCAGAUGCGAAAGCAGGACAUAGUGAUCCGGUGGUUCUGUAUGGAAGGGCCAUCGCUCAACGGAUAAAAGGUACUCUGGGGAUAACAGGCUGAUACCGCCCAAGAGUUCAUAUCGACGGCGGUGUUUGGCACCUCGAUGUCGGCUCAUCUCAUCCUGGGGCUGUAGCCGGUCCCAAGGGUAUGGCUGUUCGCCAUUUAAAGAGGUACGUGAGCUGGGUUUAAAACGUCGUGAGACAGUUUGGUCCCUAUCUUCCGUGGGCGCUGCAGAUUUGAGGAAGCCUGCUCCUAGUACGAGAGGACCGGAGUGGACACACCUCUGGUGUAUCGGUUGUCACGCCAGUGGCAUUGCCGAGUAGCUAAGUGUGGAAGAGAUAACCGCUGAAAGCAUCUAAGCGGGAAACUCGUUUCAAGAUGAGAUCUGCCGGGGCCUUGAGCCCCCUAAAGAGUCGUUCAAGACCAGGACGUUGAUAGGUCGGGUGUGGAAGCGCAGUAAUGCGUUAAGCUAACCGAUACUAAUUGCUCGUGCGGCUUGACCAA